UACGUAGGGGGCAAGCGUUGUCCGGAAUUAUUGGGCGUAAAGCGCGCGUAGGCGGCCCGGUAAGUCCGCUGUGAAAGUCAAAGGCUCAACCUUUGAAUGUCAGCGGAUACUGCCGGGCUAGAGUCCGGAAGAGGCGAGUGGAACUCCUGGUGUAGCGGUGGAAUGCGCAGAUAUCAGGAAGAACACCAACGGCGAAGGCAGCUCGCUGGGACGGAACUGACGCUGAGGCGCGAAAGCGUGGGGAGCGAACAGG
rnacentral:rRNA from 1 species